CCUUAUUUCUAACUUUUCGACUUGCCAAAAUCAAGAGACCAUUUAACUUCCUCCAGGCUAGACUUUUUAAAUUCUUUUAAAAUAAGGAAUGGGGUGGAAAUAUCAGGACCCCAAGACAUUUGGAGAGUUCAAGAGUUUUCUAUUGCUUUUUUUUUUGCCUCCCAGUGAGGCAUGUGGGAUCUUAGUUCCCCCGCCAGAGAUGGAACCCAUGACCCAUACAGUGGAAGCAAAGGGUCUUAACCGCUGGACUGCCAGACAGUGCCAGGACAGACUUCACCUCACUCCCCCGAGACCACAACAUACAUCAAAUGAGUGACACAGAAGUCCCACGCUGCCAUCGUCGGUGAGAACAGCCUGCUUCAACCUGAGCACUCUCAUCAAGAGAGCUAAGUCUGAAUGGAUGAAAUGCGUCUGUCCACGUGUCAGUAUAUGGACCCCAACAGCACUGAGCCUCUAUCAUCUGAAUUAAUAAUCUGCCAGGUUUAAAUGUGCAAACACACAUUUUUACUUGCGUACAUUCAUGAAGAGUAGAAGUUAGCUGGAUUUCUUAAGCUGCAGUCAUUAAGCGUGUUCACACCGGUCAAGACUGUAACACAAGUUUUAAGCAACUGGGGUAGACUGGAAACACACUGAAAACAACUUGACAGCAAAACCCCUUUUCGCACUGAGCGUGGUCAUUCAGCCCCAUCAGGCUGAAGGGAGUGGUGCAGAGAUCACUGGUAAUCCAUUUCAUGACUUAUCCUGAAAUUCAAUUUCCUAGAGUAAGCACAAGGAGCUGCAGAU
ensembl:lncRNA